GAGAAGGGAGGAGUUAUUCAGGCCUCCGCCAGCUUCUAGGCCCUGGGGAUGGUCUUUCACCUCCCUCUUUCUGAUCUCUUUUUCAUGCUCCUCCUUGCUCCAAAGAAAAGCCGGAUGGCAAAAGAGCCCAGAACCUAUUGGAACUGACAAAAUCAAGUCACGGCGCCUACAAAGAUGAGGGGCAGAUUCUGGCUGCCUUUUAAUUUCGUCCUUCACCUGAUAUCUGUGCCAGAGAAUGAUAAAAAUCAUAAUAAAGGAAAUAAUGGAAGAGGAGACUUAUGUUACUGGGGACAUCUAACAUAAUUAUUUUCCUGAUUCAGUGGCAUGGUUCAGUCUUCCAGGAGUUCUGCUACAGAGAAGAGAGUAACCCCCAUCCAUCAUGGCCAAAGCACCCAGUCAGGCUCCGCUCUGGAUCCAGCCCGACAAAUGCAACCCUUGAAUAGGGUUUGUGCAAGCAAACUGGAUGACGACCGAAGAAACCCUGUCGCUUCUGAGAAGACACCCAAUCCAAGAAUAUACAGUCGAAUGUAAUUUGGAAUUUACGAGUCUUAUCACAUUCUCAUUCUGCUUGAGCAAUUCAAGAUAUAAGAAAA
rnacentral:lncRNA from 1 species